AUACUUACCUGGCAAGAGAGAUACCUUGAUCAAGAAGGUAUUUUGCUCAGGGUGAGGCUUAUCCUUUGCACUUCGGAUGUGCUGACCCCUGCUAUUUCCCUAAAUGUGGGAAACUUAACUGCAUAAAUUUGUGGUAGUGAGGGACUGUGUUUGUGCUCUCCCUUA
ensembl:snRNA U1 U1 spliceosomal RNA